rnacentral:rRNA from 1 species
UACAGAGGUCCCGAGCGUUGUUCGGAUUCACUGGGCGUAAAGGGUGCGUAGGUGGUGAGGAAAGUCGGAUGUGAAAUCUCCAAGCUCAACUUGGAAAUGGCAUUGGAAACUACCUUGCUGGAGGUUUGGAGGGGGGACUGGAAUACUUGGUGUAGCAGUGAAAUGCGUAGAUAUCAAGUGGAACACCAGUGGCGAAGGCGGUUGCCUGGAGCUUUGCUGACGCUGAGGCGCGAAAGCGUGGGGAGCGAUCCGG